rnacentral:rRNA from 1 species
UACGAAGGGGGGCGAGCGUUGUUCGGAAUUACUGGGCGUAAAGGGCCAGUAGGCGGCCAACUAAGUCCGACGUGAAAUCCCAAGGCUUAACCUUGGAACUGCGUCGGAUACUGGAUGGCUUGAAUUCGGGAGAGGGAUGCAGAAUUCCAGGUGUAGCGGUGAAAUGCGUAGAUAUCUGGAGGAAUACCGGUGGCGAAGGCGGCAUCCUGGACCGACAUUGACGCUGAACGGCGAAAGCUAGGGGAGCAAACCGGG